rnacentral:rRNA from 1 species
UACGUAGGGGGCAAGCGUUGUCCGGAUUUAUUGGGCGUAAAGAGCGUGUAGGCGGUUAGGUAGGUCCGUUGUGAAAACUCGAGGCUCAACCUCGAGACGCCGAUGGAAACCAUCUGACUAGAGUCCGGAAGAGGAGAGUGGAAUUCCUGGUGUAGCGGUGAAAUGCGCAGAGAUCGGGAGGAACAUCAGUGGCGAAGGCGGCCAUCUGGGACAACACUGACGCUGAGGCACGAAAGCGUGGGGAGCAAACAGGG